GGCAGUUAGCUGGGUUGGAAAGAUUUCAUCUCUCCUUCUAUGCAAAGAACAGAAUUGUUACUUAGCUGAGUGAUCAUAUGUAGGAAUCACCAGAGUUGGUUGGCUCUCUCAGUGGGGUUUAAAGUACAGUGUAAAUAGGGUAAACUCUUCAUUGUGGCAUCUAUAAAGCCAUUUACAUUCAGACAGCAAGUGAAGCAAAGCAAAUAAACUCUACUCUGGCUGGGAAUAAUUCUGCCCUGAUGAGGAAUCAGCUGGCUGGAGGAAUUUUGGAAGGGGUGAGGCAUACACUUUCUUCUAUGUUCCUGAAACCACAACAUUGUUAGGACUCAUCUGUUCAUGAGACCAGACCAAUAGAAAAUGAGCACUUCGUGGAUAAAAAAUACAGAUGGAAACUUAGUGGCUUGCACCAAAACAUCAGAUCUUCCUGGGUCUUGAGAUAGCUAGUUUUCAGACUGCAACUACACCAUCAUCUCUCCUGGUUCUCAGACCUUCAGACUUAGACUGAAACUUACAUAAUCAGCUCUCCUGGUCUCCAGCUUGCUGACAGCAGACUUUAGGACUUGUUAGACUCCACAGUGAAAGAUCACUCUGACUGCUACAUGGAAAAUGUGCUGGGGAGAAACAAGACUGCAGGAAAUAAGAGCAGUGAACAAGCUCUUGCUGUAAUUCAAGUCAGGUGUAGAAGCUGGAGCUGGAGCAGCCAUUCUGAACUAUGUCGAAAAUCUACCUGGAAAUAAAAAGUUGACUCACCGAUUCACACCAUUUCCAUUUGUCUUGGUCUGGCUUUGGUGUCGGGGCAUUUCCAGUCUCAUAAAAUGACUUUAUAUGACAACUACCUCUUCCAGUCUUGUCAAACUAGACUCGUGUAGAAGAAAGAGCUCACUAAUCUGUCCGGCCAGAGAUUUUAAGGCGUAACACAUGGAAACUAAUGGUGUUCUACAAUUGCUGAAGCAAGUGUAACACUAAAGGUUGCAUUAUUUUUUGGGAAGAUUGGAUGUGCCCUCCCAAAUACCCCUUAGAAAUUGCUGGUGUGAAAUUUUCAUGUGAACAAUUUCUGAAUAAAAUUUAUUAUGAAUUCUCAGUUAGAC
rnacentral:lncRNA from 1 species